UACGGAGGGGGCUAGCGUUGUUCGGAAUUACUGGGCGUAAAGCGUACGUAGGCGGCUUUGUAAGUUAGAGGUGAAAGCCCGGGGCUCAACUCCGGAAUUGCCUUUAAGACUGCAUCGCUUGAAUCAUGGAGAGGUGAGUGGAAUUCCGAGUGUAGAGGUGAAAUUCGUAGAUAUUCGGAAGAACACCAGUGGCGAAGGCGACUCACUGGACAUGUAUUGACGCUGAGGUACGAAAGCGUGGGGAGCAA
rnacentral:rRNA from 1 species